UAGGGAAUCUUCCACAAUGGGCGCAAGCCUGAUGGAGCAACACCGCGUGAGUGAAGAAGGGUUUCGGCCCGUAAAGCUCUGUUGUUAAAGAAGAACACGUAUGAGAGUAACUGUUCAUACGUUGACGGUAUUUAACCAGAAAGUCACGGCUAACUACGUGCCAGCAGCCGCGGUAAUACGUAGGUGGCAAGCGUUAUCCGGAUUUAUUGGGCGUAAAGAGAGUGCAGGCGGUUUUCUAAGUCUGAUGUGAAAGCCUUCGGCUUAACCGGAGAAGUGCAUCGGAAACUGGAUAACUUGAGUGCAGAAGAGGGUAGUGGAACUCCAUGUGUAGCGGUGGAAUGCGUAGAUAUAUGGAAGAACACCAGUGGCGAAGGCGGCUACCUGGUCUGCAACUGACGCUGAGACUCGAAAGCAUGGGUAGCGAACAGG
rnacentral:rRNA from 1 species